AGUUCUCGACUGCCUUUAUGGUGAAGUUGGAUUUGGAGGAUGAUCUUGCUGGCGGCUCUUUCGUGGGCUUCGUCGGCUCCUCUUGAACGCAUGAGCGUUUCCUUGUGCAUCAUUGCGAAGGGACUCCGACGUGAUAAUCAUCUGCGUCGGACGUCUUGUUCGCUUUUUGGGCGCGCGAGGGGAUCGUGGAUCCCGCAUCUUUUUUGGGUGCGUCUUUGACCAA
rnacentral:misc_RNA from 1 species